rnacentral:rRNA from 1 species
GACGAACGCUGGCGGCGUGCCUAAUACAUGCAAGUAGAACGCUGAAGGAGGAGCUUGCUUCUCCGGAUGAGUUGCGAACGGGUGAGUAACGCGUAGGUAACCUGCCUGGUAGCGGGGGAUAACUAUUGGAAACGAUAGCUAAUACCGCAUAACAGUAGAUGUUGCAUGACAUUUGCUUAAAAGGUGCAAUUGCAUCACUACCAGAUGGACCUGCGUUGUAUUAGCUAGUUGGUGAGGUAACGGCUCACCAAGGCGACGAUACAUAGCCGACCUGAGAGGGUGAUCGGCCACACUGGGACUGAGACACGGCCCAGACUCCUACGGGAGGCAGCAGUAGGGAAUCUUCGGCAAUGGACGGAAGUCUGACCGAGCAACGCCGCGUGAGUGAAGAAGGUUUUCGGAUCGUAAAGCUCUGCUGUAAGAGAAGAACGAGUGUGAGAGUGGAAAGUUCACACUGUGACGGUAUCUUACCAGAAAGGGACGGCUAACUACGUG